UGGGGAAUCUUGCGCAAUGCGCGAAAGCGUGACGCAGCAACGCCGCGUGGGGGAAGACGGCCUUCGGGUUGUAAACCCCUUUCAGGAGGGACGAAGGUUCACCGGUGAAUAGCCGUGUGGAUUGACGGUACCUCCACAAGAAGGUCCGGCUAACUACGUGCCAGCAGCCGCGGUAAUACGUAGGGACCAAGCGUUGUCCGGAAUCAUUGGGCGUAAAGCGCGCGUAGGUGGCCAUUUAAGUCCGCUGUGAAAGUCAAAGGCUCAACCUUUGAAAGCCGGUGGAUACUGGGUGGCUAGAGUACGGAAGAGGCGAGUGGAAUUCCUGGUGUAGCGGUGGAAUGCGCAGAUAUCAGGAGGAACACCAGUGGCGAAGGCGGCUUACUGGACUGUAACUGACGCUGAGGCUCGAAAGCGUGGGGAGCAAACAGG
rnacentral:rRNA from 2 species